AACCUUUGAAGCGAAAGUUGCUGAGACCUUGAACAUGGUUACAUAUUGAAUUUGUUUUUGCAUGACCGUGAAGAGACUUGUGGUUGGAAAAGCUGUAGUUUAAAUGAGUUCAAGGCACUGUUCCCUAAUUCUCUUUGUCUUCUGCCUCGCUUCUGUCCUUGACAAAUUUGACACACAACAAAUAGCAAGGCAUCAAUAAAAACCCCUACACCUCACCAAAUCCCAGUUUCUUCUUUAUAUGUUCUUGCUUGGAAAUAAGUUGGGUAUCUUCUUCUAAGCAUUUGGUACACCUGCAUCUGAAACCAUAAUCUGCAAGUAAUGCCUGCCUCUCUUCGAAAGGAAGGUCCUCUUCUAUAUAUGAAAUUGUAACCUCUUCUCCCUUGCUAAUGGGUCUGAGGGCAAUGAUUGUUGCUUGGCCAUCCUUGUCUUCCUCUCUUUUGAAAGCUCUUGCAUUUGGACAACAGGAGUGGUUCAUACAACUCUGUAAUGGAUAGAAUGCAGUACCUUGACAACAAACUGAAUAACCAUCACCCAGAGCAUCCAGAAAUGAUUGAGUAACUUCCUCAGCUUCUCCCUUUUCAGGGUCUGGAAGAUCAUCAAUGUACAAAAAAUAAUCUUCCACUGGAGAUGCUACAACCAAAUCACUGUCAGAAAUGAAACUUAAAAUUAUUACCUGAACACUGGAGCAAAUCAUGAGUAUGAUAAACAUGCCACACAGUUAUGAUAAACAUGCCACACAGUCUAUCUUGAGGAAACGUUUAUAUCUUGUUUCAAUGUUAUACAAGUCCAUUGCAAUUAUCUCCUUAUUUGCACGUAAGAUUAACAAUUUUGUGUAGUAGAAUAGAAAAGAAUGAAGCCUUGAGCGAUUGUGAUGCUUACAGAUUAUUCAGCUCAAACAUGCCAAUAAUAUUCCCAUAGAUUUCUAGGGAGAAUACUUUGUUGUGUCAAGUACUUCAAUAGUACAAAGCAAAAAAUAGUAAGAAAUAUAAUUUUUCAAAAGAACAUAAAUUGAACCAAAACAUGGAAUAGGAUACAUGGCUCACAUUCCUGGUCAAAGAUAGCGGCCUUAAGGAGCUGCAGCGACGUGAAUGCAAGAUCCCUUACUUCCAUCCUAAAUGCAGUUUCAUCAGAACGAUCAACAUCAUCUGGCAAUGAAAUACAUUCCCACCACCUCCUCUUGUAUCCAAUUGAUACUGGCUUCCAUGCUUCCAAAAGUAAAGAGAGUUCAGCGCAGUCCAAUUCAACAGGAUCAGUAUACUUGUUUUGUCCUUUUAGAUGAGCAGCUUUUAGCUUUCUAUAUCUUAAAAUGGUGAAAGAAAUCGUCUUGGCUGCAAGGAGGAAGAUGUCAUUUGUUUCUGUGAAAAUCAAAGAGCAUCAAAGAGAGAGAAAAAUAAUGAGCAAGUAGACAAGAAACAAAAACAGUACUUGAACAAAAUUAAUCAAUGACAAUAUCCUUCAAUGUUAGACCUAACCAUCAGCAUGUUGCAUAAAUUUUGAAAGUGCCUCUCUAGAUAGUGCUUCUGACCUCUCCCCAGUGCAAAGUAAUGAAUGAGAUGAUUCCCAAUCAGCCUCCGCACAUGUUUUGCUACAAUAUUGGCAAAAUUGGUUAAAAUUAAAAGGGAUUUGUUCAUGCUGAAUGCCUAAUAAAGAAAACUGGAAAAAGCAGAUGUCUCUAGAAAUUCCAGUAGCAGAGAAAACCACACUUGAAAACAUGGUAAAAACCAGAAUCAAUUGGCUCAGAAUGUCUUGCUUCCAGCCGCAAAAUAACACUCCCAUUUUAAGCCUUGAAAAAACCUUUACCAUUUCCUUGUGUCCGUGCGGCAGCAUCCUUUUUAAGACUUUGACAAGCCUUCUGAGAGUUCUCAAAAUAUUUAAAUAAAUAACCAUUAAAAUUGCUCCUCUUGUUUCACAUAGAAGUAACAAAGCCACCAUCAUGAGUGGGAUCAACAGAAAAAUCAAUAGAUACUGGCUAUAGAUAAUCAGUUUGAUUUGUUCUAGGGUACCAUGGUUCAAGUAUCCAGUAUCAUUUGCAAAGGUAGUCGUCAAUCUAUAUAAUCACAUCAUGUCAGCUGGAAGACAGCAUACUUGCUGUUUUUUGUUACAGAGAAAACUCUUUUGAAAGCCCUUAAAAUGCUCAUCCAGGGCUACUUAUAUAUUUCUAUUCGUUACUGUUAAAAACGCAACAUGCUUUGAAGCACAAAAAAAUACAUUCACACUCAUGACAAGAUAUUUGAAAUGAAAGAUUGGACUAACAAGAUAUUCACCAUUAAGUGAAAGAAUAAAUUGACCUACCUACAAUAGUAAGCUUCUCCACAUCCCCCAGGACAAGAAAAGGCUGGAGGCAAGGAAAAUUUUUCAGAGUGAGGCAACACCAACUUGCCAUUCAUUAAUGAUUGCACAACCCCUUUAGGCAAAGUAACUUUGCCAUUGGGACUGCUAGAAGCACAUUUCCUCAGCUUCACAUAACAAUCAUCUUCUUCAUCAGCUGAAUUGGUGUCACAAAAAUCUUUUGAAAUUCCUUCCUUAUCACAUACUUUGCUACCUGACAAACCUAGACUUUGCAAAUAGAGCUUCCUCCCAAUCUGAAGUUCUAUUGAACCAAUAAAUUGGAAACAAAAGCUACAGACCAGACAGUCAAUCUUGUUUGAAGGAUGUUGAAUACCAACAAGCAUUGGGUCCUUCAAAAUAAGUUCGUCCUCUUUGAAAUCCAAAUCAGCAUAGACACCCUUUCCAAACUCGCCAUUCUGUUUAACUUUGAUACCCCGGCAUUGCCUGCUCGAUAUAAGCUCCUCGAAAUACUCCUGGACUUGGAGAGGAGGAGGAGAAGGAUGGAGAAGAACGGAGAUUUGAGAAGCGCACUUGCGAUCGAUCGGGCAAAUUGUUUCCAUUACAAGCUCAAGCCCGUGAAAAGCUCAAGCUUUGUAUCGAUUGUGAGGACUGAAGAGACAAGCCUCCAGUGAGACGGCUCCACAACUUUACUCGGCGGGUCUUCUUCUUAUGCUGCCGUUUCUCAGAGUUCGGGUUUCGUCGGGGAUAUUUGUGUAAUUAUAAUGAUUUUUUAAAAGGG
rnacentral:misc_RNA from 1 species